rfam:Clostridium sp. Maddingley MBC34-26 contig_163, whole genome shotgun sequence.
GAAAUUCUGUCUGAACAAGGUCCGGUCAACCAGCAGUAGCGAGUCUUGAGUUGUCAUCAGUAAUGGUGGGAGCUAAGCGUAGACAGCGAAAAAGUAGGGUUGAGUAUUUAUAGUAGUAAUUUGGGAGGAGGAUUAUAUGAUAAGAGAA